ensembl:lncRNA
GGGGUUAGGGUUAGUGUUAGGUUUAGGUUCAGGUUUAGGGUUUGGUUUGGAUUAGGCUUAGGCCUAGGCUUCAGCUUCGGCUUAUGGUUAAGUUUAUGUGUAAGAGUUGGGUUAGUGUCAUGUUUAGGGUUAGGGUUAAGUUUAGGCUUAGGGGUUGGCUUAGGGUUAGGUUUAGGUUUAGGUUAGGGUUACUGUUAGGUUUAGGCUAAGGUUUUGGGUAAGGGUUAGGGUUAGUGGUAGGCCUAGGCUCAGGGUUCAGCUUAGAUUUAGUAUUAGGUUUUAGGCUUAGGGUUAGUGUUAAAGUUAGUGUUCGGGCUAGGCUUGGGGUAAGUGUUAGGGUUUAGAGUUGGGAUUACGGUUAGGGUUAGCUUUAGGGUUACAUUUAGGAUUUGGGUUAGGGUUAUGUGGAUUGAGUAUAGGGUAAGGCUUAGAGUUAGGCCGAGCCUUAGGUUUAGGAUUAGGGUUAGGGUUAAGGCUAGGGUUAGGGUUACAGAGUUAUGGUUAGGGUUGUCUUAGGGUUAGGUUAGGGUUGCUGUUAGGAUUAGGUUUAGUUUUAGGGUUAAGGUUAGUGAUAGGUUUAGGGUUACAGGUUAUGGUUAGGGUUGGGGUUUGUUUUGGGACUAAGAUUACAUUUAGGGUUUGCGUUUGGGUUAGGGUUAUGGUUCAGGUUAGUGUUAAGGUAAAGGUUAGUGUUAGGUUUGGGGUUAGGGUUAGCGUUAGGGUUAGGUUUUGGGUUUAGAAUAGUGCUAGUCUUAGGUUUAUGGCAAGGGUUAUGGUUACGGUUAGGUCUAGGGUUACGUUUACAUUUAGGUUUAGGGGUAGGUCUAGUGUUGGGGUUAGGGUUAGGCUUAGAGUUAGGGUUAGGUUUAGGUUUUGGAUUAAGGAUAGGGUUAGGGUUAAGGUUAGUGUUGGGGCUAGGGUUAGUGUUAGGAUUAGGGUUAGGUUUUGGGUUAGGGUUAGGUUUAGGGUUAGGGUUAGUUUUUGUAUUAAUAAUAGGGUUAGGGUUCAGGUUACGGGUUCUGGUUAGGGUUAGGUUUGGGAUUUCUUUUGGGACUAAGGGUUAGGUUUAGCGUUAUGGUAAGGUUUACGGUAGAUUUAGUGUUAGGUUUGGGGUUAAGGUUGGGGUUGGGUUAGGGUUAGAUGUUGGAUGAAUAAGAGGCUUAGUCUUAGUUUAAGGGUUACUGGUAGGGUUAGGGUUAGGCACAGGGCUCCCGGAGGCGAAGAAGUGGCUACUACUUGCACCACUGACGUGAACCGCAGUUGUAGGCUGCAGAGCGCGGCUUCGGCGGAAAGAUGCCGGUAACCGGCGCUUCCCUCCGGACAGCAGCGGAGAGCCAUAGUCUGCGUCUCUAGUGGACUGCAUCAUCGCGAAAAGCUUUUCCAGCGUGUCUCGCAGGGAGAAAGCUUGCCAGCACAGUGCAUGCAUCCCGCUCUUGCCCAGAAACAUGGAUUUGCUGAACGCUCCAAAAACAUGGGUCUUUCCUAGGCAAGCUUCAAACUGCUGUCAGACGUCUGUGCUCUCUGUUUUCUGCUGCCCAGCUCGUUGCACUAGAGUGCACAGCCCACCCUGGCAUUCAGUGCACAGUGAAGGCAAUUGCAAAAAACCAGCAGCUGCUUACUCCCAAACACAAGGUGCUGUCUAUGUCCUUGCUUCCCGACCAACUCAGCGCAGCCCUUCUUUUCUUUAGCUGCCAUUGAGUUCUCUGCAUCUCGGAAGCUCAGGGCAUGAACAAGAAUUCUCCAGGACGUCUGCAUCAGGACCAAGUCAAAACCCAGGAAAGUUGUCGUGGAACAUCUGCCAUAAGCAUGCCAGCGGUGAGUUGAAGGGGCAGGGAGCUGCCGCCACCGUCCUCUAGCAGUGCCAAGGCUGCGAACACAAGCCGGCUUCAUUCUUUGCCUCUCAGAAGCCAACCGCUCUCCCCGGCUCCCGGAGACGAAGAAGCGGCUACUACGUGCACAGCUGACGUGAGCUGCAGUUGUAGGCUGCAAAGCGUGGCUUCGGCGGAAAGACGCCAAGGACUGGCGCUUCCCUGCGGACAACUGCGGAGAGCCCUAGUCUGUGUCUCUAGUGGACUGCAUCAUCGCGAAAAGCUUUUCCAGCGUGUCUCACAGGGAGAAAGCUUGCCAGCACAGUGCACGUAUCCCGCUCUUGCCCAGAAACAUGGAUUUGCUGAACACUCCGAAAACACUACUCUUUCCUAGGCAAGCUUCAAACUGCUGUCAGACGUCUGUGCUCUCUGUUUUCUGCUGCCCAGCUCGUCGCAGUAGAGUGCACAGCCCACCCUGGCAUUCAGUGCACAGUGAAGGCAAUUGCAAAAAACCAGCAGCUGCUCACUCCCAAACACAAGGCGCUGUCUAUGUCCUUGCUUCCCGAGCAACUCAGCGCAGCCCUUCUUUUCUGCAGCUGCCAUUGAGUUCUCUGCAUCUCACAAGCUCAGGGCACAAACAAGAAUUCUCCAGGACGUCUGCAUCAGGACGAAGUCAAUACCCAGGAAAGUCGUCCUGGAACACCUGCCAUAAGUAUGCUAGCAGUGAAUUGAAAGGGGCAGGUAGCUGCAGCCACUGUCCUCUAGCAGUCCGAAGGCUGCGCGAAGAAGCCCGGUUCUGUGCGGCUUCGUUCUUCACCUCUUACAAGCUACCGCUCUCUCCGGCUCCCGGAGGCAGAGAAGCAGCUACCUUGCGCACAGACCGGGGAGCGGCAGCUGCACGGUACGAUGCACUGAUUCAGCCAAAAAACUCCGGGCAGCGGCACAUCCCUUCAGAGAGCUCCGGAGACUCAGAGCUUGCUUCUCCAGUGGACCGCAUCAUAGCGAAAAGCUUUGCCAGUGUGUCUCACAGGGAGAAAGCUUACCAGCGCAGCGCACUUAUCCCACCCUUGCCCAGAAACACGGAUUUGCUGCACACUCCAAAAAUACUGCUCUUUCCUGGGCAAGCUGCAAGCUGCGGUCUGUUGGCCGUGCUCUCUGCCUGCUCCUUCCCAGCUCCUUGUUGUUGUAGUGUCCACAUGCCAUCCUGGCAUUCAGUGCACAGUGAAGGCAAUUGCAAAAGUCCAGCAGCUGCUGAUUCCCAAACACAAGGCACUGUCUAUGUUCUUGGUUCUCGACAACUCAACGCAGCCCUUCCUUUCUGCAGCUGCCAGGGUAGUCUCUGCAUCUCGGAGCCUCAGGGGACGAGCAAGAAUUUCCCAGGAGGGGCUGCAUCAGGACGAAGUCAAAACCCAGGAAAGUUUUUCUGGAACACCUUCCAUAAGUAUGCUAGCAGUGAAUUGAAGGGGCAGGCGAGCGGCCGCCACUGUCCUCUAGCAGUCCGAAGGAUGCGCAAAGAAGCUCGGUUCUCUGUGGCUUCGUUCUUCCCCUCCUACGAGCUACCGCUCUCUCCGGCUAGCAGAGUUGAAAAUAGCCCUUUCAACUUUCUUCAUUGUUAUUCAGCAUCCUAACAACACUAUUUCUUGUUACACUCUCUCCGUUCUUUAAAAUAACAAUUUUGUCUUUUGGGUUUUCACUCUUCAAAUGCUUAGUGAUUUCUUGUUUCAUUCCAGGCAUUAGACAAACCAGACAUGUAUAAUUUUCUAGAAUUUUCCUGGUUGUUUCUGAUGUCCCUACAGUUUACAAAUGUUUAUCUGGAAGAUAGUUUCUUGCACUGAAUCCCGGAUUCCAAGUAUUACUCCACCAGAAAUGCCCAGAGAAAAGUUCUGCCUGUUUUCCUUCUCUCAAGGUAUCUCUGCAUAUUGAGCCCUAAACUGGAAAGAAUUUGCUCUGCCUUUCUGUCAUCACACAUUGUAAACUUACAGUUCAUUAUCAUAUGAACAAAUUCUUUCAGUUUCUGAGGCUGUCCAUCAGGGAGGUCUCCCUAUCACACUGAUAAUUUGUUCUUCUCAUAGUUGCCUCCUUUUAUCCUUUCAGCUCUCUGUUUCCAAGGUGCAUCUCAAAUUUCAAGCAUAAAGUAAAUCAAGAAAUAACAAUUGUCAGAAAUCCCUAUACUUAGCAUCAUAUAUUGCCAUACUGUAGCUAUGAUAUGUACUCAUUCACACAGUACAUUGUGAAUAACCUUGAACAAAUACGUAUCUUGGGAAAAACUCUGACCUACAUGCCAAUGAAAGAGAUAUUGAGUGUCAUUGAGCUGGCCCACUAAACCUAGAAAUUUCUCUUGCUAAUCUAUAGGAUAGUUAAAACUGCUUUCUGAUUUCUUCAGACUGUGGAACGGGCAAAACACAUCCAUUACACAAACAUAACAUGAUCUACUACAAGAAUUUCUCUCUCACGGAUUUUUGGCAAGCUAAAGUGUCUAAGUAAAGAUAACAUAGGAUACCACAUCAACAACCAAACUUAUCACAAGUUAGAAAGGGUCCAUAAGUUUCAAAAGCAUGCAGGCAGAAAGCAGUGAUGGGAGCAGGAUUGCACAUUUUUAAAGGGAAUUACAAGUAUUUUGCAGGUCUGAGUUUCUGUAAAGCAACAGAAACAUAAACUUAACAGCAAACACCCACAAAGCAUUAAGGAGCCUUUCACAGAAAACAGAAGAUUUAAUAGAUGGCAGCACUAAAAAAGGGUCUGCCCUGGUUCAAUUUCUUCUUAUGGUUUAACUGUGCUGAUUACAGAGCACAGCCUAAACCCAGAGAAGCAAUUUGUAGCUGUAGUUGUGACAUAGAAUGAAAUUAAGACAGAAAUGUGGUGAUUUUCAGGGGAAACUGAAUUUAAAAAAUAAAGUGUCUGAACCUAUAUAGCCCCUGUGAAAAAGAUAUUUUUUAUCUAUAAACAGUUGUGGGCAAUACAGACAAAAUUAUCCUAAAUACCAGAGAUUUUGCAGACUUUGCUGCUCGUAAUGUUGCCAAUUGAAAAGAAAUGCCAAGCACAGUUUUCAGACCUGUUUGAAAACACGAUUAUUUGCUUAGUGUUAUUUUUACUCGUGUGCUUCAAAAACUAGUAGCACCUAACCUUGUGCACCCUAAAUGUAUUUGUUACAUGAAAUGUCUACUGAAGUUUUCCAA